rnacentral:rRNA from 1 species
CAGUCGCCACGGGAAUACGAGGAGGGCUAGCGUUGUUCGGAAUUACUGGGCGUAAAGCGCACGUAGGCGGCUUUGUAAGUUAGAGGUGAAAGCCCAGAGCUCAACUCUGGAAUUGCCUUCAAGACUGCAUCGCUUGAAUCCAGGAGAGGUGAGUGGAAUUCCGAGUGUAGAGGUGAAAUUCGUAGAUAUUCGGAAGAACACCAGUGGCGAAGGCGGCUCACUGGACUGGUAUUGACGCUGAGGUGCGAAAGCGUGGGGAGCAAACAGGAUUAGAUACCCGUGUAGUCCCUGUCUCUUAUAC